rnacentral:rRNA from 1 species
GUCCACGGCCAGGCCACCCUGAACAAGCCUGAUCCCAUCUGAUCUUGGAAGCUAAGCAGGGUGGGGCCUGGUUAGUACUUGGAUGGGAGACCACCUAGGAAGACCAGGUGCUGUAGACG